rnacentral:rRNA from 1 species
UACGGGGGAGCAAGCGUUGUUCGGAUUUACUGGGCGUAAAGGGCGCGUAGGCGGUCAGCACAAGUCAGUUGUGAAAUCUCCGGGCUUAACUCGGAAAGGUCAACUGAUACUGUGCGACUAGAGUGCGGAAGGGGCAACUGGAAUUCUCGGUGUAGCGGUGAAAUGCGUAGAUAUCGAGAGGAACACCUGCGGCGAAGGCGGGUGCUGGGCCGACACUGACGCUGAUGCGCGAAAGCCAGGGGAGGCGAACGGG